rnacentral:lncRNA from 1 species
AUGGUAACAAUUUCACAUCGGCAAGCACCUCUGCCUAGUUUUUUCAGUUCAACCUGUUGCUCUAAUAAUCUGAAGCCUGAUUCUAUGCUUGUGAAGGAUAAUUACCCAGUGAAUCCAAUUCUGGAUAUUGUGUUACUGAGGCUGCAUAUAAGAGGUGCUCGAACUGGGGGAGGAAGAUUUCACUCUGCACUCACUGGAUCUGGGAAGGGAACUGCAGGAGGAAGGCGCUGAGCUUGUACUGAGGGACUGGUGGGAUCUGGUGGACACAGGGGAAGAGCAAGGACACUGUACCCAGGAACAGUGUGAAAUGUGGCCCAAAUGUAGUAAACAAUCCUAUUUCCACGACCAUUUCAAAACACACUCUCUGGAGGUGUUAGAACUGAAAUUCCCCAAUGCUGAGUCACACAGAGCACCCGAGGCAAAGCUCUCUUCUCCUACAUUGCCUGCUCAAUUCUGGAUUGCCUUGGAAGGAGGCAGGAAAUGGACAUUCACGAGCUGCUGAAGAUGAAGUGUACAUAUUGGGUCAUUUUUCUCCUUCACACUCAGGUCUCUCCAGAUAGAGCAGUUGAUGAGAAAGGAAGCGAGGAAGUCUGAAAUAUUAUUCACAGCUCCUCGGCUGCUUUUACCAAGUCCACAGGGCUUAUUCAAGGAGAGAAUGGUGCUCUAAAGUCUGAGCGUGGCAACCAUAGUCCUAAAGUUCAUGGGAUGUUAGCGUUCUGUCCGUAGGAGCAAUGGGAAAAUUUUGCUUACAUCUUACUCCUUAGGUCAUUUUACAGCAGCAUUGGGGUCAUUCCUUAAGGUGAAACCAGGCAGCCACACGGCAGUGCCAAUUUCCAAGAUGGUGCUGAUGGCAUCCUCAAAGCUGAACUGAACAAGUGUCUCACCUGGGUACCAGUCAAAAAUGAAACUCUGGAGUUGAAGUCUGCCUUACACCAACCGGGACAGAAGUCAUUAUCUUGGUCUCCAGGACCCAGAAUGUUCUUGAUGAGAAGUGCUGGUGGAUCCAGGAAUUGACCACUGUGCUUCAGAAGAGGUUUGGCUCCCCUGGGGGCACUGUAGAGCUUUAUGCUGAAAAGGCAGAGCUCUGUGUGCCAUCACAUAGGCAGAACCUCUGUGUUAUAGUCUCCUGGGAGGGCUUGCUGUGCCGAAGGACUGCUCCGGUGUGCUGUGGCUCCUCCUGGAAUGUGGGGCCAUGGGCUGCUAGGUGGUGGAGCCUGAGAAGUCCGAGGACAGAGGGUUAAGUCCAUGAAGUUUGUGGAUGGCCU